ensembl:misc_RNA Metazoa_SRP Metazoan signal recognition particle RNA
GCCGGGUGCGGUGGCAUGUGCCUGUAAUCCAAGUCACUGGGAGGCUGAGGUUGGUGGAUCAAGUGAGCUGAGGAGCUCUGGGCUGCAGCACACUAUGUUGAACGGGUGUCCACGCUAAGUUCGGUAUCGAUAUGGUGUUCCAGGGGGAGCCCGGGACCACCAGGUUGUCUAAGGAGGGGUGAACCGGCCCAGGUCGGAAACGAAGCAUGUCAAAUCCCCCGUGCUGUACAGUAGUUGGAUAAUACCUGUGAGUAGAUGCUGCAGUGCAGCCUUGGCGAAACAUCGAGACCUAAUCUUAA